UGACCAGCGGAGGGAUCAUUACCGAGUUUACAACUCCCAAACCCAAUGUGAACGUUACCAAACUGUUGCCUCGGCGGGAUCUCUGCCCCGGGUGCGUCGCAGCCCCGGACCAAGGCGCCCGCCGGAGGACCAACCAAAACUCUUAUUGUAUACCCCCUCGCGGGUUUUUUUUAUAAUCUGAGCCUUCUCGGCGCCUCUCGUAGGCGUUUCGAAAAUGAAUCAAAACUUUCAACAACGGAUCUCUUGGUUCUGGCAUCGAUGAAGAACGCAGCGAAAUGCGAUAAGUAAUGUGAAUUGCAGAAUUCAGUGAAUCAUCGAAUCUUUGAACGCACAUUGCGCCCGCCAGUAUUCUGGCGGGCAUGCCUGUCCGAGCGUCAUUUCAACCCUCGAACCCCUCCGGGGGGUCGGCGUUGGGGAUCGGCCCUGCCUUGGCGGUGGCCGUCUCCGAAAUACAGUGGCGGUCUCGCCGCAGCCUCUCCUGCGCAGUAGUUUGCACACUCGCAUCGGGAGCGCGGCGCGUCCACAGCCGUUAAACACCCAACUUCUGAAAUGUUGACCUCGGAUCAGGUAGGAAUACCCGCUGAACUUAAGCAUAUCAAUAAAG
rnacentral:rRNA from 1 species